GUAGGGGCCAAACGUUUGUCCGGAUUUAUUGGGCGUAAAGGGCUCGUAGGCGGUUCAACAAGUCGAUCGUGAAAGCCCGGGGCUCAACCCCGGGAGGCCGGUCGAUACUGUUGUGACUAGGGUCCGGUAGAGGUGAGUGGAAUUCUCGGUGUAGCGGUGGAAUGCGCAGAUAUCGAGAGGAACACCAGUUGCGAAGGCGGCUCACUGGGCCGGUACCGACGCUAAGGAGCGAAAGCAUGGGGAGCAAACAGGAUUAGAUACCCUGGGUAGUCCAUGCCGUAAACUGUGAACACUAGGUGUGGCGGAUCUAUUGAUGUCUGCCGUACCCGUAGCUAACGCGUUAAGUGUUCCGCCUGGGGAGUACGGCCGCAAGGCUA
rnacentral:rRNA from 1 species